GCGUGUGGGAUAUGUGCAUGACUGUGGCG
rnacentral:piRNA from 1 species